rfam:Archangium gephyra strain DSM 2261, complete genome.
CCGACCGCGAGGGAGGUUCUGGAGGAAGCGGGGAGCGAAACCGCGAGUCGACGCACAGGAAGCGGAUGAGGCGCUGCGAGUCAGGGCGAGCGGGCCAAAGACCGCGAAGCUCUCGCGACCAAGGACAGACGGCGUAGAUCCGACGAUUGCGCGGAGAAACCCACGACUCUUAC